GGUACAGUGGUGAAAGCAGCGGCAGUGAAUCUGACGGCUGUGGUGGAAGACGCCGCAAGCAUCGGGGUAAAGGUCGCGGCCCAGGGCGUGGGCGAGGUCGCGGGAAAGGACAAGGAAGGUGGUGAACAGAGGACAGAUGAAUCCAGACCUGUCAGCUGACCCUCAGAAGAGCCCUCUGGCUUUGGAAUCGACU